rnacentral:rRNA from 1 species
GGUUCGAUUCUGGCUCAGAUUGAACGCUGGCGGGAUGCUUACACAUGCAAGUCGAACGGGCAGGAUCGGACUUCGGUCUGGUGGCGAGGGCGAACGGGUGAGCAAUGUAUCGGAACGCCUAGUAGCGGGGGAUAACUACGCGAAAGCGCACAAUACCGCAUACGACCCUUCGGGGGAAAGCGGGGGACCUUCGGGCCUCGCAAUUAUUAGAGCGGCCGAUAUCGGAUUAGCCAGUUGGUGGGGUAACGGCUCACCAAGGCGACGAUCCGUAGCUGGUUUGAGACAUCGACCAGCCACACUGGGACUGAGACACGGCUCCAGACUCCUACGUGGGAGGCAGCAGUGGGGAAUUUUGGACAAUGGGGAAACCCUGGAUCCAGCCAUCCCGCGUGCGAUGAAGGCCUCGGGUUGUAAAAGCACUUUUGGCAGGAAAGAAACGGCACGGAUAAUACCCUCGUGCAACUGACGGUACCUGCAGAAUAAGCACCGGCUAACCACGCCAGCAGCCGCGGUAAUACGUAGGCAAGCGUUACUCCGAAUUAAUGGGCGUAAAGCGUGCGCAGGCGGUUCUGGAAAGAAAGAUGUGAAAUCCCAGAGCUUAACUUUGGAACUACAUUUCUUUAACUACUGAGCUAGAGGUGUCAGAGGGAGGUGGAAUUCCGCGUAGCAGUGAAAUGCGGGAUAUGCGGAGGAACACCGAUGGCGUAUAGCAGCCUCCUGGGAUAACACUGACGCUCAUGCACGAAAGCGUGGGGAGCAAACAGGAUUAGGAUACCCUGGUAGUCCACGCCCUAAAUGAUGUCAACUAGCUGUUGGGGCUUCCUUUCGGCCUUGGUAGCGCAGCUAACGCGUGAAGCGACCGCCUGGGGAGUACGGUCGCAAGAUUAAAACUCAAAGGAAUUGAUGGGGACCGCAUUGCCGGUGGAUGAUGUGGAUUAAUCUGAUGCAACGCGAAAAACCUACUCUACCCUUGACAUGUCUGGAAUCCCGAAGAGAUUUGGGAGUGUUUUCGCAAGAUAAAUCGAACAGGUGGUGGCCGCAUGGCUGCACGUCAAAUUAAAAUGAGACGUUGUUGUCUCAACGCUAACCCCUGUCAUUAGUUGCUACGAAAGGGCACUCUAAUGAGAUUGAACCCGGAGACAAACCGGAAGGAAAGGUGGGGAUGACGUCAAGUCCUCAUGGCUCUUUAUGGCAGGGCUUCACACGUCAUACAAUGGUCGGGACAGAGUGGUCGCCAACCCGCAGGGGGAGCCAAUCCCAGAAACCCGAUCAGUAGUCCGGAGUCCCAGCCCCGGGUAACUCGACUGCGUGAAAGCCGGAAUCGCCAGUAACGCGGAUCAGCAUGUCGCGGUGAAUACGUUCCCGGCCUUGUACACACCGCCCGUCACACCAUGGGAGUGGGUUUUACCAGAAGUAGUUAGCCUAACCGCAAGGAGGGCGAUUACCACGGCAGGAUUCAUGACUGGGUAAAGUCGUAACAAGGUAA